UAAAAGAGUUGAAAAACUCCUUAAACCCACUGUGAACCUACUUAUAUUGUUGCUUUGGCGGGUAGCCCCAGGGUGGGGCUUUAGGCCUUUUACAAGUGCUCGCUCGCCGACAGCCAUUAUAAACUCUUUGUUAUUACAGUAUAUUUUGAACUUAAAGAAAAAUUAAAAAUUAAAAACUUUCAACAACGGAUCUCUUGGUUCUGGCAUCGAUGAAGAACGCAGCGAAAUGCGAUAAGUAAUGUGAAUUGCAGAAUUCCAGUGAAUCAUCGAAUCUUUGAACGCAUAUUGCGCCCAUUAGUAUUCUAGUGGGCAUGCCUGUUCGAGCGUCAUUUCAACCCUCAGGCUUUUAGCUAUAGGCCGUAGCUAGCCUGGCGUUGGGGUAUCUGCAGUUGACUGCAGGCCCUAAAAGUUAGUGGCGGUGUCCGCUAGCACUCCGGGCGCAGUAAAUUUUAUUCUCGCCUUGGAUGUCUUGCAGUCUACCAGCCGUAAAAAAAACUCAAAAUAUAAAAGGUUGA
rnacentral:rRNA from 1 species